GCUCCCGCCGUGUCUUUAUGCGUGUGCGUGUGCCGAAUGUGAACAGGCUUGUAAUCAUGCACGAUCGAGCAAUUCGGAUGACCUUCGUUGAGCAAGUGACAAACCAGCUGGAUUGCUACCUCAAGACGUUCGUUGGCUAUUACGAGAGAAAUGACCAGUCAUUGAAACCAGACAAGGGUGAAGGUCACGUUAGUCACGAAUACUACGUUCCGAAUGCGUAUACACGUUCCUGAACGUGCUACCUGUGUUU